GGUCAGAUGGCCGAGCGGUUAAGGCGCCAGCUUCAGGUGCUGGUCACAUUGUGGCGUGGGUUCGAGUCCCACUCUGAUCA